rnacentral:lncRNA from 1 species
CUGAGGACAAAGUCACUUGUGAGCCUGGGGUGACCUUGGGCACUAUAACUUCUGGGCAUCUAGGACCUGCAGCUCUGGCAGGUGGCGGGCUUCUUCCAAAUGUGCUGGGUCUCCUGCCAGGGCCCUGGGGAGAGGCUUGGACAGGAAUUGACACUGGAUGCCUGUGCCACAGAGAUGCCUGGGAACAAAGGAAUUCUUGUCGAGCUGCUCUCCAGCUAGGCCAGCUCCGGGCAGCUUAUCCAGCUAACACAGCUCCUCUAGGAGAGUUGUACAGAGGAAAGAAAGCCUGCAUUACCCUGGAAUCCAGUUAGGACAGGAAAGGCAGAUUCCUAGGGAGCACCGGAAAACUGUGUUUGGCAGUGGGGACGUCCCUGGAGAGCCUCUGCCACUGGGCAUCCAGCUCCUUACCUUUCUGAUCGCCAACUGCUUUCAGAGUUCAAGGAGAGGCAAGCAGCUCUUAGGUGUCCGGUCCUCCGGCUGACCGGGCUGGGAGAGUGGGCCCAAGGAAGAGCAGGCGCCAUCCUUGCCCCAGAAGACCUCACAACCCAGGUGGGGAGGUGAGAUUCCUGGACUGGAAACAAGAUGAGGCCCAACCAGUGCUGGGACCUUCCUCUGAUCCCUGAGACUCUCACGGUCUGAGGGAGGGCUCCUUUGGCCCACAGCACAGUGCCCAGGUGGAGGCCUUGAGUCCAGCUCCUCAGCCAUUUCCAAAUUCCCUCCUCACCAUCCCUGCCCAGGCUCCUCGCCGUCCCGGGACAGGGCACUCAGUGCCUUGGAGCAGAACCAUCCCACAGCGACAGCCCUGACUGCUGCAUCCCCUUUGCUCUGGCCACGCCUCACUCUCACCCCUUGGAUCCCCAUGGAGCCCACUUGGCUCCACCAGGGACCAAGGUGACAGCGGAGCACUGCCACCUGGGGCAAGGUGAGGGGCUUGCAAAGAGCUCUCUGACCAGAUCCCUUAUGCACCAGCCCCCAGAAGCCUCGGUGGAAGCCUCCUUCUGGAGCUUUUCUGUUCAGAGAAAGCAGCAAACAAAGUGGAGCCAGCCCCCUGGGCCUGGAGCCCUGAGCUCCCCAGGCCGACCCACAGACUGACGGAGACGUUACCGGAGCUGAUGAUUCAACUUCCUGCCUUUUGAGAGCGCCCAGACCACAGAGGUUUUCUCGCUUGGAGGAGGGGGCAUCUCCCUGAUAGGGCCAAGCAGGGUGGGACAGGCCCCACCACAAACGGCAAGGACCAGGCAGUGCAUGGGGCAGGCCCUAGGGGCUGCUCUGGAACCCCGGCCAGCUCCUUCCUAAGGCCUGGCUCUUUGGGUAACUGAUUACUACCUAGGGUGACCAAAUGUCCUGAUUUGCCUGAGACUGUCCUGGUUUUAGCACCUGAAACCCCACAUGCUGGGAAACACCUCAGUUCUGGGCAAACCAGAAGGUUUGGUCACUUAAUUACCACCCAUAUUUCUAGAGGACAUGACUGCCUCAGCGACUCUGGGGGUCCAGGCCCCAGGACAGCACGUUUUAGAAUAGGGAAUAGGCACACUAUGUGCAGGUUUUUAUUUUGUAUUAAUUUUUUUGGCUGUACCUGUAGCACAUGGAAGUUCCUAGGCUAGGGCUCGAACCCCGGCCACUGCAGGGAUGACACUGGAUUGUUAACUGCUAGGCCUUUAGGGAGCUCAGGAAUUGGCAAACUGUGGCCUGAGGGCCUGAUCUGGCUCUCUGCCUAUUUUGUACAGCUCAGAAGCUAAGAAUAGCUUUUAUAUUUUUUAAUGGUUGAAAACAAAAUUAAAGAAGAAUAAUAUUUCACGAGAAGUGGAAAUUACAUGAACUUCAGAUUUGGGUGUUCAUAAACAAAAGAGCACAGCCAUGCCCAUUCAUUUACAUAUUGUUUCUGGCUGCUUUCACAUCACAGGCAAUGAACUUGUAUCGAGACUGCACAGAACCAUGGACCACAAAGCCUAAAAUAUUUACUGCCUGACCCUGUACACAAAGUUUGCUGGCCCCUGUUUGAGAGGUAGGCAAAAGGCGCGGGUGUGCCUGACCUGGGCUGGGGUGUGAGUGUGUGUGCGUGAGCGGUGACGCUUUUGUGAGGAAACGCAGAACUGGAGAAGGACAGAUUCAAGGCAAGGGCUCAGCUCAUUUCUCAGGCUGCAAAUACUUGCCAGCCCAAUUCCAGAAGCGGGUCAGAAACGAUGUGCCCG